GAUGAACGCUGGCGGCGUGCUUAACACAUGCAAGUCGAACGGUGAACGAGGGAGCUUGCUCCCUCCGGAUCAGUGGCGAACGGGUGAGUAACACGUGAGCAAUCUGCCCCGAACUCUGGGAUAAGCGCUGGAAACGGCGUCUAAUACCGGAUACGACGCGCGAAGGCAUCUUCUGCGCGUGGAAAGAAUUUCGGUUCGGGAUGAGCUCGCGGCCUAUCAGCUAGUUGGUGAGGUAACGGCUCACCAAGGCGACGACGGGUAGCCGGCCUGAGAGGGUGACCGGCCACACUGGGACUGAGGCACGGCCCAGACUCCUACGGGAGGCAGCAGUGGGGAAUAUUGCACAAUGGGCGCAAGCCUGAUGCAGCAACGCCGCGUGAGGGACGACGGCCUUCGGGUUGUAAACCUCUUUUAGUAGGGAAGAAGCGAAAGUGACGGUACCUGCAGAAAAAGCACCGGCUAACUACGUGCCAGCCGCCGCAGUAACAC
rnacentral:rRNA from 1 species